CACACGCCGCACACACACAGCCACACACACGCGCCGCACACGCCUGCCUCUUCGAGAGCUCGCGGCCGCCGCCGCUGGCAGCCGGCCGCCCUCCGUACCCCGACCGCCUGCUGCCCGCCGGCCGCCCCUGCGGGUUUGCCCCACUCGCGGCGUGGUCCUCCGGCAUCUGACCGGCCGCGCGGCCGCACCACCGCCAGCCGGGGCGCCGACCUUCCCUGCUCGCCCGCUACGAGAGGCCGCGGCCCUCCCCGGCUCGCCGGCCGCCGUUGGCCGAGGUGAUUGGAGGAGAUCCAGAACGCCAUCUCCGAAGGUGAGGAACGCCGAGAUCUAGAACUCCAUCUCCGAAGGUGAGAAACCGAGCGCUCGCCGACCCUGCCCCACCCCAGAGGCGAGUUCUGCAGGCCUACGACUGUGCUGCAACCCUGACUGGGGCUGAGCUUGUCCGUCCAAGCCAUCCUGUCGCCUCCAGGUCCACACAUCUUGAGCUCCUCCAGAACACCAGUGCUCCCAUUCGAAGAACUGCAGUGGUGCCUUGUGGAAAGCUUGAGAUGUAGAUACUAGCUGACGUGCUUGAUCAAAAACAAGACAAGAUGGUGAAAAGGAUCAAACUGCUUCUGUUCAGCUAGAUUAGGUAAAAGAUGGACGGUGGGCAAGCCAGUGGGUGAGGACAGUGCGCUCGGCAGCGAAGCAUCAAUCGGGGACAUCGUCAAACCAUGUCAGAGGGUCGAAGGCAUCGCACGCCGGGCCAUCCCCAGCUGGACCGUUGCCGGGAUCGCACAUUGGGGCGUCCCAACCCUCGCCGGCAUCGCACAGUGGACUGUCGCCGUGAGCCGUCUUCGGAGUCGUUUUUAUGUAUUGAACUUGUCUUGGAAUAAUGUGUACUUUUGAACAUGCGGUUUGUAAUAUAAUGUGGAUUUUGUACAAAUUUGACCGUUGAUAUAUAAAUGUGGUUUGUGAUAUA